rnacentral:rRNA from 1 species
UGGGAAUCGUUCCGCAAAUGGACGAAAGUCUGACGGAGCAACGCCGCGUGAGUGAAGAAGGUUUUUCGGAUCGNAAAAACUCUGUCUUUUGGGGCGAACGUGAGUAUGGUGAACAAUCAUAGUCAGUGACGGUACCAAAGGAGGAAGCCACGGCUAACUACGUGCCAGCAGCCGCGGUAAUACGUAGGUGGCAAGCGUUGUCCGGAAUUAUUGGGCGUAAAGAGCGCGUAGGCGGGAUAGUCAGUCUGUUGUAAAAGUGCGGGGCUCAACCCCGUGAUCGCAAUGGAAACAGCUAUUCUUGAGUGCAGGAGAGGAAAGGUGGAAUUCCUAGUGUAGCGGUGAAAUGCGUAGAUAUUGGGAGGAACACCAGUGGCGAAGGCGACUUUCUGGACUGUGUCUGACGCUGAGGCGCGAAAGCCAGGGGAGCGAAC